rnacentral:lncRNA from 1 species
UCACUGUCACCGUUCCUGGGAUUGCCGCUGUCACCAGGAUUGUCACCGUCACCGCUGUCACCGUCACUGGGGCUGUCACUGUCACCGGGAUUGUCACCGCUGCUGGGUUUGUCACCAUCACUGGGUUUGUCACAUUGCUGGGUUUGUCACCAUUACCGCUGUCACCGUCACCGGGAUUGUCACCGUUCCUGGGAUUGUCACCGUUACCAUUACUGGGAUCGUCACCGUUAUCACUGUCACCAUUACUGGGACUGUCACCAUUACUGGGAUCGUCACCGUUAUCACUGUCACCGUUACUGGGAUUGUCACCAUUACUGGGACUGUCACCAUUAUCACCUUCACCGUCACUGGGAUUGUCACCAUUAUUGUGUCACCAUUACUGAGGCUGUCACCGUUACUGAGAUUGUCACCGUUACUGGGAUUGUCACCAUUACUGGGACUCUCACCAUUAUCACCUUCACCGUCACUGGGAUUGUCACCAUUAUUGUGUCACCAUUACUGGGACUGUCACCGUUACCACCAUCACCGUUUCUGGGAUUGUCACCAUUAUUGUGUCACCAUUAGUGAGGCUCUCACCGUUACCACUGUCACCAUUACUGGGACUGUCACCAUUAUCACCAUCACCAUUAGUGGGAUUGUCACCAUUACUGGGACCAUCCCCAUCCCCGUGCAGAGCAGCAGGAGAGGUGUGGUGAGUGUGAGUGUGGGGGUCACGUUGGUGGUGGGUGUGCAACAGGUGUGAGCACGGCGUCGUGCAACACGGGGGGGGUGGUGGGGCAUGGGUGCAAGGCAGGGGUGCGCACAUGGUUGCUCACGUGUAGGUGCAAUGCACACUCUUGUGGACAUGCCUUGCACACACAAUGCACAC